rnacentral:rRNA from 1 species
AAGUCGUAACAAGGUCUCCGUAGGUGAACCUGCGGAGGGAUCAUUACCGAGUGAGGGGGCCUCGCGCCCUCGACCUCCCAACCCUCUGUUUCAAACCAAUCUGUUGCCUCGGGGGGCGACCCGGCCGUCCGACGGCGUCCGACGCCCCCCAGAGGAUCAAUCAAAACAACCUGCAUCUUUGCGUCGGAGUUUUGAAAGCAAAUCAAUCAAAACUUUCAACAACGGAUCUCUUGGUUCUGGCAUCGAUGAAGAACGCAGCGAAAUGCGAUAAGUAAUGUGAAUUGCAGAAUUCAGUGAAUCAUCGAAUCUUUGAACGCACAUUGCGCCCUUUGGCAUUCCGAAGGGCAUGCCCGUUCGAGCGUCAUUAAGACCCAUCAAGCCUGGCUUGGUAUUGGGCGUCGGGUCCUCACCGACCCGCGCCUCCAUUCUCCCGGCUGGACGGUUGGAAUCUCAGCGUUGUGUCAAUCAAUCCGCUCGAGAGGACAGCCGCCCGCGCCGUUAAACCCCCAUUAAAGGUUGACCUCGGAUCGGGUAGGGAUACCCGCUGAACUUAA